AUAGUGGCGCACGGGUGCGUAACACGUAACUAACCUACCUAUAACUGGGGGAUAGCCGCCGAAAGGCGGAUUAAUACCGCAUAAGCUCUUUAGCUGGCAUCAGCUGAUUAGUAAAGAUUUAUUGGUUAUAGAUGGGGUUGCGGGUCAUUAGCUAGUUGGUUAGGUAACGGCUGACCAAGGCGACGAUGACUAGGGGAGCUGAGAGGCUGGUCCCCCACACGGGCACUGAGAUACGGGCCCGACUCCUACGGGAGGCAGCAGUA
rnacentral:rRNA from 1 species